UAGAAGCAAGGAGCCAGCAAGUCUAGCAGACAUGCAAGCCCUGCCUCAGCUUCUCUCCCAACACUCAGCUUUUCUCCCAAUACAGGAACUUUUGGAGGUCACUUCUGGGGCCUUUGCUGAGCAGGCCACUCCUUGCUUCUCCUGCAGAUGACAAGGUUUCCAGCAUGAUUAUUGCUAUGACUGAUGGAACAAUGAUGAAACAUCCAUCUUUGGACACUCUCAAAGAAAAUCCUACCAUGUGGUUAUUCAUGGAAAUGGCUUUCAGAAUCUAAAGAAACGGGAUGAAGUUAUUUGCAGAUUUAUCUUCAGUGAAAGCACUAUCAUUGGGAGUACUUCAUUGAAGUCAGCUUGAACAACGGCAAAACAUUCAAGAGCAAUGUCAGCAUCACCAGCACCACAUGUGGCAAUCUGGAUAUCUUCCGUGACCUCUCUCACCCAAGCUGCUGCCAGGUGCCAUGGAUGUGGUGUCAGCACAGGGGCCAGACUCGUGGAACAAAUACCACGGAGCAGCACCUAGCACAGAGGAAGGCCCCCUGCCCUGGGCAUCUGUGGGAAACCAGGGCCCAAGUCUGCGGUGAGCUGGUGCAGAAACUCUGAGCUGAGGAGCUAACAUUACACCCAUCUGCAACUGAGAGAACCUGCCAGGCUCCAGCAAAACCAAACAGGACAUUCUCCCCAGGAGACACCGUCCUCAUCCAGGGGAACCAGGAUUCUCAUGGAAAAUCAUUUCCUACUGAAGACGAGGUCAGAGGAAAAACUCCCAGGUAUCCCAAAGAGAGGCAGCAGAUACAAGAAACAAGGAGAUUCAAAGCCCAGAGAGUAAAGAGAAUAGAGUGAUCUAAAAGGAACAUUGAAAUAAGGGUGUAUAAAAUGUUCAAAAAAAGAUAAAGGAAUAAAACUAUAUGACAAGAACAGCUAAUUAUAACAAAUGCAGAGUUUUAAAAGGACCGAAGUUCUAAAAUGCAUUAAUGAAAAAUGAAACACAACCAGAAAGUUCAAGACAAAAAGUGGAAUAACUCCAAAGACAGAUCUGAGCAGCAUCUGCCCUGCAGCCCCACUGACCGAGAUGGAAACCAGAAACAGGAUGUUGUGUGCUGGGAGCAGAUAAGGAGUGUCUAGCAGGGCAGCUCACUCCACCAUCCUCAGCCCACUCCACCAUGCUCAG